rnacentral:rRNA from 1 species
AAACCAACCGGGAUUGCCUCAGUAACGGCGAGUGAAGCGGCAAAAGCUCAAAUUUGAAAUCUGGCACUUUCAGUGUCCGAGUUGUAAUUUGUAGAAGUAGUUUUGGGACUGGUCCUUAUCUAUGUUUCUUGGAACAGGACGUCAUAGAGGGUGAGAACCCCGUAUGAUGAGGCCCCCAGUCCUUUGUAAAACGCUUUCGAAGAGUCGAGUUGUUUGGGAAUGCAGCUCUAAGUGGGUGGUAAAUUCCAUCUAAACUAAAUAUUGGCGAGAGACCGAUAGCGAACAAGUACAGUGAUGGAAAGAUGAAAAGAACUUUGAAAAGAGAGUGAAAAAGUACGUGAAAUUGUUGAAAGGGAAGGGCAUUUGAUCAGACAUGGUGUUUUGCGCCCUUUGCUCCUUGUGGGCGAGGAUACGCAGCUCACUGGGCCAACAUCAGUUUUGGGAGUAGGAUAAAUCUGUAGGAACGUAGCUUUCUUCGGGAAGUGUUAUAGCCUAUGGGAAUACUGCUACCUGGGA